rnacentral:misc_RNA from 1 species
GUGAAUCAUCAAAUCUUUGAACGCAUAUUGCACUCUCUGGUAUUCCGGAGAGUAUGCCUGUUUGAGGUAAUUAAAAAGAAACUUUUACCAAUUUUUUUGGUCCAAGGAAUAGAGUUCUUCGCGUUUAUAGCCGUAACUUUAAAUAAAUGGUCAAGUCCCAUUUUAGUUGAGACGCGUAAUAAUAUUAUUUCGCGAAAUCUUCAUUAUGUGACUAUCCAGUUUUUAUUCAUACAAAUUUGGGUUGUAUGCGAUCAAUUCAAAUAUUUUGAAACUUACCUCAAAU